GCCAGGACUGCAGUUGACCGUACCGUAAUCCGACACAGGUAGGCGAGGCGAGCAGCCUAAGGUGCUCGAGUGAUUUACGGAAAAGGAACUCGGCAAAAUGGCCCCGUAACUUCGGGAUAAGGGGUGCCGGCAGUAGCUGACCUAAUCAAGGGAAGGCGAGACCGGCCGCAGAGAAUCGUCCCAAGCGACUGUUUAGCAAAAACACAGGAGCGUGCUAAGGCAUUGUCCAAGCCAACGUAUACGCUCUGACUCCUGCCCGGUGCCGGAAGGUUAAGGCAAGCUGUCAGCCGCAAGGCGAAGCAGUGAACCGAAGCCCCGGUAAACGGCGGCCGUAACAAUAACGGUCCUAAGGUAGCGAAAUUCCUUGUCGGGUAAGUUCCGACCUGCACGAAUGGAGUAACGACUUGGGAGCUGUCUCUUCCGUAAGCUCGGCGAAAUAGAAGCAUCGGUGAGGAUUCCGAUUACCCGCGACAGGACAAAAAGACCCCAUGCACCUUUACUACAACCUGUCAUUGAUUGUCGGUAUGCGUUGCGUAGCAUAGGUGGGAGCCGGUGAAACCGGGGUUUCGGCCCUGGUGGAGGCACCAGUGAAAUACCACCCUUCGUUUACUAACAAUCUCACUCAGCCGGCAACACCGGCGAGGACCGUGGCAGGCGGGUAGUUUGACUGGGGCGGUCGCCUCCUAAAAAGUACCGGAGGCGCACAAUGGUUGGCUCAGUGCGGUCGGUAAUCGCACGUCGAGUGUAUACGCAGAAGCCAGCCUGACUGCGAGCGCGACAGCGCGAGCAGGGACGAAAGUCGGUGUAAGUGAUCCGGCGGGACCGUGUGGACGGCCCGUCGCUCAUCGGAUAAAAGGUACGCUGGGGAUAACAGGCUUAUCGCGCCCGAGAGUUCACAUCGACGGCGCGGUUUGGCACCUCGAUGUCGGCUUGUCACAUCCUGGGGCUGGAGAAGGUCCCAAGGGUCCGGCUGUUCGCCGGUUAAAGUGGCACAUGAGCUGGGUUCAGAACGUCGUGAGACAGUUCGGUCUGUAUCCGUCGUGGGCGUGGGAAUGUUGAGGGACGUCGACCUUAGUACGAGAGGACCGGGUCGAAGCGACCGCUCGUGUACGGGCUAUCCUGCCAAGGGUAUCGCCCGGUAGCGAUGUCGCGCGCAGAUAACCGCUGAAAGCAUCUAAGUGUGAAACUGUUCCUAAGAUGAACAUUCCUGGGUCUUAAGACCCCUGAAGGGCCGUGGGAGACUACCACGUUGAUAGGCGGCAGAUGUAAGGCGUGCAAGCGCUUCAGUCGAGCCGUACUAAUCGCCCGUGCAGUUUGAUCGC
rnacentral:rRNA from 1 species